GCAACCGCCUGCAUGAAGUCGGAAUUGCUAGUAAUCGCGGAUCAGCAUGCCGCGGUGAAUACGUUCCCGGGCCUUGUACACACCGCCCGUCACACCAUGGGAGCCGGUAAUACCCGAAGUCAGUAGUCCAACCUCGUGAGGACGCUGCCGAAGGUAGGAUUGGCGACUGGGGUGAAGUCGUAACAAGGUAUC
rnacentral:rRNA from 1 species